AACCUGAGAUGUCCGAUAACUCUUGUUCAUUUUUGAACCUACAUUUACUUUAAACGGGAUUCCUAUAUUGCCAAGUGGCUGUCAGGCCCUCACUCAUUGCGAGGAUCGGAAGGGAAGGCAAAAGCGUGGUUGCGGUUACCCACCUAGCAUUGCUAGGAGUCAAAAAACAAGAGGCGGCAUUUUGGGGAU
rnacentral:other from 1 species